rnacentral:rRNA from 1 species
AUUGAACGCUGGCGGAAGGCUUAACACAUGCAAGUCGAGCGGGGGAAGGUAGCUUGCUACCGGACCUAGCGGCGGACGGGUGAGUAAUGCUUAGGAAUCUGCCUAUUAGUGGGGGACAACAUCUCGAAAGGGAUGCUAAUACCGCAUACGUCCUACGGGAGAAAGCAGGGGAUCUUCGGACCUUGCGCUAAUAGAUGAGCCUAAGUCGGAUUAGCUAGUUGGUGGGGUAGAGGCCUACCGAGGCGACGAUCUGUAGCGGGUCUGAGAGGAUGAUCCACCACACUGGGGCUGGGGCACGGCCCAGACGCCUACGGGAGGCAGCAGUGGGGAAUAUUGGACAAUGGGGGGAACCCUGAUCCAGCCAUGCCGCGUGUGUGAAGAAGGCCUUAUGGUUGUAAAGCACUUUAAGCGAGGAGGAGGCUACUCUAGUUAAUACCUAGGGAUAGUGGACGUUACUCGCAGAAUAAGCACCGGCUAACUCUGUGCCAGCAGCCGCGGUAA